GGGAUGGGUGUGCUAUAUGUGUAUGGGACGGAGAGCCAGGAGGAUUCAUAGGCACACUUCAGGCUAGGAACGACUCUGCAACCCUGUGUCUUGAUGCCAGUGCUCCUGCGACUCUCCCAUUAAUUCCCUGGGACCAAUUUAGAUUUCCUAAUUCUCAAUAUAUAAUCAAAUUACUUCCCCGAAAUUACCGGGUGUGUGUUUGGGGGUUGGGGGAUGCUGUUAUUCCGUAGAGAGUUCGUCCGAGUUAUCGAGUUACUAUUUUCAUCAUAGAAAGUAAAAACGGAGGGGUGUGAGAAUUUACCAAGAGGCACAGGUUUUUGUUUGUUUAUUUGUUGACUCAGGUUUCAUUUCUGGGAACUGGUUCUCUGGAACUGCAUGAUUCAAACACGCUUCCCAACUCUGGAGUUCUGUGCCACAGCUCCUGGACAUCUAAACUUGGAUAUCCUGAUCGCACACGAGCUGCACCCUAGGCCGAGGAAAGCAGAAGGACAUGGAAUCAAGGACUCCACGUCUCAGGAACCACCUCCUGAGAAGACUAGGCUGAAUACACACUAAGGCGAGUCGCAGCUAGAAAGUGCGCCUGUGCAGUACAGCAUCUAGAGUGAGGGACUGCUCUUGUGCAUCACUGCUUUCUCCGCCUUCUCCAGCUGCUGCAAGGGCUCAAGGGUGCAGAAAUCCACAGACUCUGGGGCUGGGUAAAUGAUUAUCCCUGCCACAUUCAUCAUUCAUGCAGCUCCCAGGAAGAAUGACUGCUCUAUAUUGGACAUAAAUGUACUGACGGAGUAAUUGAAUAAGAAAACCAUUCAGAAGUUGAAGGAAAACAGUUCUUCACAGUUUGAGUGCACACACGUCUGCGUGUAUUUCACUAGAAAGGACACUCUCCAUAAGGAAAGAUUACUUUUGCGUAAGAGAGUUUGACACGAGGGUUUCUACGUGACGCUGUUUGACAAGGAUAUGACAGCUAUUUCAUGACAAUGUUUG
rnacentral:sRNA from 1 species